GGAAGACCCCAACAGAAUGAAGGUGUGUGCUUGACAAGCUUAAGGGCUACAAAAUCCAGUUGGCAACUGUAUGGAGAUUCAUAUGGAAAACUAUCCUGGCUUUUUCUUCUUAACUCUCUAUAGGACCAUCCAUUUUGUAUCUUGAGAACUGCUGCAGUUUCUCUUGGAAGUCAUAAUUUGAACAUGCAGAACUGCAUCUCAUAAAAUAAAACCAUAGCUCCCAGGAUAUGCUGCAGUGUCUGCAUACAGGGGAACUGUGAUUCACUUGGCUUUAUGGAGGACCUGGCAGCAGCCUCCCAGUGCCUUUGUGGAGGUUACUGAACAGGCAGAGCCAGGCUUCUUACAGGCAGCGCAUGGCAGAAGGUUGAGAAGCAAUGGCUGUAAGGGGAAGAUGUUCUCCUCAUUAGUCUGGUUGAGUAAGAGUACGGCCAGAGAGGUUGUACAAGCUUCAUCUGUGGAGAUUAUCAAACACCAACUGAGUGAAGCUCUGAGCAGCGUGGUCUGACCCUUGCUUGGAGCAGGAGGUGGACUGCGCACUUCCCAGUCCUUUCCAGCCCUUAUCACAUUGUGAUGCAGGGAACAGGGAGCACAGGCCAAAGCUAAAUAUGAAAUACCCUAAUUUCGGUUCC